UAGAAGCUUGCUUCUAANUAACCUAGCGGCGGACGGGUGAGUAACACGUAGGCAACCUGCCCACAAGACAGGGAUAACUACCGGAAACGGUAGCUAAUACCCGAUACAUCCUUUUCCUGCAUGGGAGAAGGAGGAAAGGCGGAGCAAUCUGUCACUUGUGGAUGGGCCUGCGGCGCAUUAGCUAGUUGGUGGGGUAAAGGCCUACCAAGGCGACGAUGCGUAGCCGACCUGAGAGGGUGAUCGGCCACACUGGGACUGAGACACGGCCCAGACUCCUACGGGAGGCAGCAGUAGGGAAUCUUCCGCAAUGGGCGAAAGCCUGACGGAGCAACGCCGCGUGAGUGAUGAAGGUUUUCGGAUCGUAAAGCUCUGUUGCCAGGGAAGAACGUCUUGUAGAGUAACUGCUACAAGAGUGACGGUACCUGAGAAGAAAGCCCCGGCUAACUACGUGCCAGCAGCCGCGGUAAUACGUAGGGGGCAAGCGUUGUCCGGAAUUAUUGGGCGUAAAGCGCGCGCAGGCGGCUCUUUAAGUCUGGUGUUUAAUCCCGAGGCUCAACUUCGGGUCGCACUGGAAACUGGNGAGCUUGAGUGCAGAAGAGGAGAGUGGAAUUCCACGUGUAGCGGUGAAAUGCGUAGAGAUGUGGAGGAACACCAGUGGCGAAGGCGACUCUCUGGGCUGUAACUGACGCUGAGGCGCGAAAGC
rnacentral:rRNA from 1 species